GAUGAACGCUAGCUACAGGCUUAACACAUGCAAGUCGAGGGGCAGCAUUUCAGUUUGCUUGCAAACUGGAGAUGGCGACCGGCGCACGGGUGAGUAACACGUAUCCAACCUGCCGAUAACUCGGGGAUAGCCUUUCGAAAGAAAGAUUAAUACCCGAUGGUAUAAUCAGACCGCAUGGUCUUGUUAUUAAAGAAUUUCGGUUAUCGAUGGGGAUGCGUUCCAUUAGGCAGUUGGUGAGGUAACGGCUCACCAAACCUUCGAUGGAUAGGGGUUCUGAGAGGAAGGUCCCCCACAUUGGAACUGAGACACGGUCCAAACUCCUACGGGAGGCAGCAGUGAGGAAUAUUGGUCAAUGGGCGCAGGCCUGAACCAGCCAAGUAGCGUGAAGGAUGACUGCCCUAUGGGUUGUAAACUUCUUUUAUAUGGGAAUAAAGUUUUCCACGUGUGGAAUUUUGUAUGUACCAUAUGAAUAAGGAUCGGCUAACUCCGUGCCAGCAGCCGCGGUAAUACGGAGGAUCCGAGCGUUAUCCGGAUUUAUUGGGUUUAAAGGGAGCGUAGGUGGACAGUUAAGUCAGUUGUGAAAGUUUGCGGCUCAACCGUAAAAUUGCAGUUGAUACUGGCUGUCUUGAGUACAGUAGAGGUGGGCGGAAUUCGUGGUGUAGCGGUGAAAUGCUUAGAUAUCACGAAGAACUCCGAUUGCGAAGGCAGCUCACUGGACUGCAACUGACACUGAUGCUCGAAAGUGUGGGUAUCAAACAGGAUUAGAUACCCUGGUAGUCCACACAGUAAACGAUGAAUACUCGCUGUUUGCGAUAUACAGUAAGCGGCCAAGCGAAAGCAUUAAGUAUUCCACCUGGGGAGUACGCCGGCAACGGUGAAACUCAAAGGAAUUGACGGGGGCCCGCACAAGCGGAGGAACAUGUGGUUUAAUUCGAUGAUACGCGAGGAACCUUACCCGGGCUUAAAUUGCAUUUGAAUAUAUUGGAAACAGUAUAGCCGUAAGGCAAAUGUGAAGGUGCUGCAUGGUUGUCGUCAGCUCGUGCCGUGAGGUGUCGGCUUAAGUGCCAUAACGAGCGCAACCCUUAUCUUUAGUUACUAACAGGUCAUGCUGAGGACUCUAGAGAGACUGCCAUCGUAAGAUGUGAGGAAGGUGGGGAUGACGUCAAAUCAGCACGGCCCUUACGUCCGGGGCUACACACGUGUUACAAUGGGGGGUACAGAAGGCAGCUACCUGGUGACAGGAUGCUAAUCCCAAAAGCCUCUCUCAGUUCGGAUCGAAGUCUGCAACCCGACUUCGUGAAGCUGGAUUCGCUAGUAAUCGCGCAUCAGCCAUGGCGCGGUGAAUACGUUCCCGGGCCU
rnacentral:rRNA from 1 species